rnacentral:rRNA from 1 species
UACGGGGGGAGCAAGCGUUGUUCGGAUUUACUGGGCGUAAAGGGCGCGUAGGCGGUCAGCACAAGUCAGUUGUGAAAUCUCCGGGCUUAACUCGGAAAGGUCAACUGAUACUGUGCGACUAGAGUGCAGAAGGGGCAACUGGAAUUCUCGGUGUAGCGGUGAAAUGCGUAGAUAUCGGGAGGAACACCAGUGGCGAAGGCGACUUCCUGGCCUGUUCUUGACGCUGAGGCGCGAAAGCUAGGGGAGCAAACGGG